AGAUUGAACGCUGGCGGCAGGCCUAACACAUGCAAGUCGAGCGGCAGCACGGGUACUUGUACCUGGUGGCGAGCGGCGGACGGGUGAGUAAUGCCUAGGAAUCUGCCUGGUAGUGGGGGAUAACGCUCGGAAACGGACGCUAAUACCGCAUACGUCCUACGGGAGAAAGCAGGGGACCUUCGGGCCUUGCGCUAUCAGAUGAGCCUAGGUCGGAUUAGCUAGUUGGUGAGGUAAUGGCUCACCAAGGCGACGAUCCGUAACUGGUCUGAGAGGAUGAUCAGUCACACUGGAACUGGAGACACGGUCCAGACUCCGUACGGGAGGCAGCAGUGGGAAUAUGGACAGUGGAGAAGCCUGACUCAAGCAUGCCGU
rnacentral:rRNA from 1 species